rnacentral:sRNA from 1 species
CGGCCGGACCGAGAAGAGGAGCGCGCUGCGCGUCGCCGGAGUAACCUCCUUGGUCUCCUGCUUUCGCGACAUGGCCUUCAAUUUUGGGGCUCCCUCGGGCACCUCCGGUACCGCUGCAGCCACCGCGGCCCCCGCGGAUCAUAUCUGAAGAUAUUAGUGAGCUACAAAAGAAUCAAACUACAUCUGUAGCCAAAAUUGCACAAUACAAGAGGAAACUCAUGGAUCUUUCCCAUAGAACUUUACAGGUAGUAAUUUGGAUUUUUUCCCCCAGUGUUUAUAAACUAUGUGUGUGAAAUAAUGUACUAAAUAUAGA